rnacentral:rRNA from 1 species
UACGUAGGGUGCAAGCGUUAUCCGGAAUUAUUGGGCGUAAAGAGCUCGUAGGCGGUUUGUCGCGUCUGCUGUGAAAACUCGAGGCUCAACCUCGAGAUGUCGGCGGAAACCAUCUGGCUAGAGUCCGGAAGAGGAAAGUGGAAUUCCUGGUGUAGCGGUGAAAUGCGCAGAUAUCGGGAAGAACACCGGUGGCGAAGGCGGGUCUCUGGGCCGUAACUGACGCUGAGGAGCGAAAGCGUGGGGAGCGAACAGG